rnacentral:ncRNA from 19 species
CGAGGCGAGUGAGGGAGCCCGACCGCAACGGCCGACUUCGGCGCGACGCACCACGCAUCCGCCGGUGCCGACUGUCACGGUAGGGCUGAGAGGCCAGAAGGCAGCAGUCGGGCCGGAUGGCGACCCCCAUCACCUGAUCCGGACCAUACCGGCGAAGGGAACCCGUCUCGUAGGUCU